rnacentral:misc_RNA from 1 species
AAGUCGUAACAAGGUCUCCGUAGGUGAACCUGCGGAGGGAUCAUUAACAAACUUGUGCAGCGGCGUGCUUCGGCGCGCUUGCGCUACACUCUACUACCAUGUGCGAUCGUGCGAGCGUGCGGAGAGUCAGAGGUGUCGCCGCUGGGCGGCGGCCUUCUCUCCGGCGCAACCAUUACACACACAAUGUCUUGACUGUGGAUGAUAUAGAGAAUGAAAUCAACUUUUAACAAUGGAUCUCUUGGCUCUC